GGUGAGUAACGCGUAUGGAACCUACCUGAAACAGGGGGAUAGCUUCCGGAAACGGGGAUUAAUACCGCAUACGAUUCAUUUGUGGCCUCACAAAUGGAUAAAAGCUACGGCGGUUUCAGAUGGCCAUGCGUACCAUUAGUUAGUUGGUGAGGUAAAGGCUCACCAAGGCGAUGAUGGUUAGGGGUCCUGAGAGGGUAGUCCCCCACACUGGUACUGAGACACGGACCAGACUCCUACGGGAGGCAGCAGUGAGGAAUAUUGGUCAAUGGGCGCUAGCCUGAACCAGCCAUGCCGCGUGCAGGAAGACGGCCCUACGGGUUGUAAACUGCUUUUCUGCAGGAAGAAUAUAUAGUCUUAGGGGUAUAUUGACGGUACUGCAGGAAUAAGCAUCGGCUAACUCCGUGCCAGCAGCCGCGGUAAUACGGAGGAUGCAAGCGUUAUCCGGAUUCAUUGGGUUUAAAGGGUGCGCAGGCUGUAAAGCAAGUCAGUGGUGAAAGCCCUGGGCUUAACUCAGGGAUUGCCAUUGAAACUGUUUUACUAGAGUGUAGUAGAGGACGGCGGAAUGAGUUGUGUAGCGGUGAAAUGCAUAGAUAUAACUCAGAACACCUAUUGCGUAGGCAGCUGUCUAUACUACAACUGACGCUGAGGCACGAAAGCGUGGGGAGCGAACAGGAUUAGAUACCCUGGUAGUCCACGCUGUAAACGAUGAUCACUCGUUGUUGGCUACUUAGUAGUCAGUGACCAAGGGAAACCGAUAAGUGAUCCACCUGGGGAGUACGUCGGCAACGAUGAAACUCAAAGGAAUUGACGGGGGCCCGCACAAGCGGAGGAACAUGUGGUUUAAUUCGAUGAUACGCGAGGAACCUUACCUGGGCUUAAAUGCUGGCUGCAUUGGAGGGAAACCUUCAUUUCCUACGGGACCGCCAGCAAGGUGCUGCAUGGUUGUCGUCAGCUCGUGCCGUGAGGUGUCGGGUCAAGUCCCAUAAGGAGCGCAACCCCUAUCGCUAAUGCCAGCAUGUAAUGGUGGGGACUCUAGCGAGUCUGCCGGUGUAAACCGGAGGAAGGUGGGGAUGAUGUCAAAUCAGCACGGCCCUUACGUCCAGGGGUACACUCGUGUUACAAUGGCCGGUUCAAAGAGCAGCCAUCCUGGCGACAGGGCGCUAAUCUCUAAAACCG
rnacentral:rRNA from 1 species